AGCAGUCGCCGCGGGAAUACGAAGGGUGCAAGCGUUAAUCGGAAUUACUGGGCGUAAAGCGUGCGUAGGCGGUGAGUUAAGUCUGCUGUGAAAUCCCCGGGCUCAACCUGGGAAUGGCAGUGGAUACUGGCUCGCUAGAGUGUGUCAGAGGAUGGUGGAAUUCCCGGUGUAGCGGUGAAAUGCGUAGAGAUCGGGAGGAACAUCAGUGGCGAAGGCGGCCAUCUGGGACAACACUGACGCUGAGGCACGAAAGCGUGGGGAGCAAACAGGAUUAGAUACCCGCGUAGUCCCUGUCUCUUAUAU
rnacentral:rRNA from 1 species